rnacentral:rRNA from 1 species
AUGGCGCAUGUAGCCGGUUUGCUCGCCUCGGCUGUGGUCUCAGCGGUGGGCAAUAAGCUGGGUUCCGCCAUUGGGGAUGAGGUCACGAUGCUGUGCAACUUCAAGGACGACCUCAAGGACAUGAAGGACACAUUGCAGUACAUGGAGGCGGCGCUCAAGGAUGCUGAGAGGCGGUCUGUCAUGGAGGAGUUGGUGCGGCUGUGGCUCAACCAGCUCAAGAACGCUGCCUACGACAUCUCUUACAUGCUCGAUGAGUUCCAAGUUAACAGUGAACCAGCCUCCAGAAAGAUGAUUGGGAAGCUGGACUGUUUUGCUAUUGCACCCAAGAUUACCAUGGCUUAUAAGAUGAAGAAGAUGAGAGGUCAGCUGAGGAAGAUCAAAGAGGAUCAUGAGAGUUUCAAAUUCACACAUGAUAACUCGAGCCUAAUUAAUGUGCAUCAGCUUCCCGAUCCACGGGAAACAACGUCACAUGUCAUUGAAUCACUCAUCAUAGGGAGAGACAAAGACAGGAUGAAUGUCCUUUCUUUGUUAUCCAAAAACAACAACAACAAAGAAGAUAUCACAGUUCUUCCUAUUUGUGGGCUUGGAGGCAUAGGAAAGACAACUUUGGCACAACUGGUCUUCAAUGAUGCUCAGUUCAAAGAUUAUGAUCAUCGGGUAUGGGUCUAUGUAUCCCAGGUGUUUGACUUGAAAAAAGUAGGGAACUCCAUAAUUUCUCAAGUACUGGGGAAAGGAAGCCAGAAUCUAGAUACAAGGCAGUUGAUAGACCAACACCUUAAAGAUCUGCUUCGAGAUAAAAAAACUUUAAUUGUUUUAGAUGACCUAUGGGAGACAGAUUACUUCCAACUGGAUCAACUCAAGCUUAUUGUGAAUGUAAGCUCCAAGAUGAAAGUCCUAGUUACAACACGCAGCAUAGACAUUGCAAGAAAAAAUUGUACUGUUGAACCAUACAUGUUAGAUCUCUUGGACAAUGACAUGUGCUGGAGAAUAAUCAAGCAAAAUAGUGGCUUUGAAUCUAGAGCUGAUAAAGAGCAAGUUAAACCAAUUGGACAGAAGAUUGCAAAGAAAUGUGGAGGUUUGCCAUUAGCAGCUCAAGCACUUGGAUUCUUGCUAUUUGGAAUGGAUCUUAGUGACGGGAAAGCAAUGUCUAAUAGUGAUAUUUGGGAUGAACCGUUUUCUGAUAGUACAGUGUUACCAUCCUUGAAGUUAAGUUACAAUACUUUGCCACCAUAUUUGAGGUUAUGCUUUGCCUAUUGUGGCAUCUUUCCUAAAGGUCACAAUAUAAGUAAAGAUGAUCUUAUCCAUCAAUGGAUUGCUCUGGGUUUCAUCGAGCCAUCUAAUAACUUUUCGGCCAGACAACUUGGCGAGAAGUAUGUUACACAAUUCCUGGGGAUGUCUUUCCUUCAUCAUUCAAAAUUUGCUGAGAAAUUUGGAAAAACAAUGUUCACCAUGCACGAUCUAGUUCAUGAUCUCGCAAGAUCAGUCAUUACCGAAGAGUUGGUUGUCUUUGAUGCUGAAAUAGUGAGCGAUGCUACAAAAAAAGAAUACCGCAUCUAUGCAUCUCUCGCAAAUUGCAAUAUUUCAGAUUACAGCAAGGUGAGGAAGGCGUCAACUAUUUUCCGACCCAAGUUAAGGGCGAUGCAUUUUUCGGAUUGUGAAUUCCAUGGCGGUGCAUUUUCAUUUCCAAAGUGCUUGCGAGUCUUGGAUCUAUCUGGAUGCUCCAUCACAGAGUUUCCAAGCGCUCAAGGACAACUGAAGCAACUGGAGGUUCUUAUUGCUCCAAAGCUACAAGAUCAUCAAUUUCCCGAUAGCAUCACUCAGCUCUCCAAAUUACAUUACCUGAACCUCAAUGGAUCACGUGAAAUAUCAGCAAUACCAAGCUUGGUUAGCAAACUUGUGAGACUGGCGCAUCUUAACUUAUCUUAUUGUACUAGUGUCAAAGUCAUACCAGAGACUCUGGGAAGCCUAAAAAACAUUCAAACACUAGACCUCUCAUGGUGUGAGAAACUCGAGUCCAUUCCAGAGAGCCUUGGAAACCUGCAAAACCUUCAAAUACUAGACCUCUCGUGCUGCUUUGAACUAAAGUGCCUUUGA